GCAACCUCAAGCUCGCGAAGUCGGAUCGCAUGGUGUUUCUGAGCCUGCUCGGCAUUUCGUGGCUGUGGUUCGUGGGUGCGACCUUCCUGACCUCGUUCUUCAAUUUCGCGAAGGACGUGCUG
rnacentral:ncRNA from 1 species